GAGGUAAUCUGGCUUGUACGCAGUAUAUGCAAAAGUCAUUUCACAUUAUUACCGUAAGUAAAAAUUUGAAGAAUAAAGAAGAAAAAUGGAAAACACUAUUGAUAACCAUUUCAACGAGGCUGUUGGUGAUAAUGAUCCUCUCUCCAACACCUCAACGGAAUUUGCAUUAUCAAAAAGUGAGACAGUACCAACAGGUAGUUGUGUUAUUAACCAAUUUGUGGGAGAGAAAUAUUUUGGAUGGCUAUUUAAGAGUUGGAAU